rnacentral:ncRNA from 1 species
GAAAACGCUGUGACAAGGAAUAGUAAAGCGAUUGAAUCUAGUAUAGAGAGUGGAAUCCAUCGGCUGAGAGAUUCUACCUAGGACAUGCUUGAACCCACCCUUGUAGUGGCUGAUGAUAGACUGUUUUUGCUUUCUAGAAAUCAGAUCGGAGCUGACCGUUAUCUCAGAUAUGCAGUGAGGAAUGAGAUGCAUUGUAUUUUUAUAUGCAUAUCUGCAUAAAUAGAGAUAAAUUCAUGGUUAGUGAGUUUAAAUAAGGUGGUACCGCGGAAGAAGGCCCUUUCGUCCUUAUG